GACGAACCGUGCGAACGUUGUUCGGAAUCACUGGGCUUAAAGGGCGCGUAGGCGGCGGAUCAAGUCCGGGGUGAAAGCCCCCAGCUCAACUGGGGAAGUGCCUUGGAUACUGAUUCGCUCGAGGGAGGUAGGGGUCGCGGGAACUUCCGGUGGAGCGGUGAAAUGCGUUGAGAUGUGGAGGAACACCAGUGGCGAAGGCGACUCUUUGGCCUGUAACUGACACUGAGGCGCGAAAGCGUGGGGAGCAAACAGG
rnacentral:rRNA from 1 species